GAUGAACGCUAGCGGCAGGCCUAACACAUGCAAGUCGAGGGGUAGACAUCUUCGGAUGUUGAGACCGGCGCACGGGUGCGUAACGCGUAUGCAAUCUACCUUAUACUAAGGGAUAGCCCAGAGAAAUUUGGAUUAAUACCUUAUGGUUAAUAAAGCCGGCAUCGGUUUAAUUAUAAAGAUUUAUUGGUAUAAGAUGAGCAUGCGUCCCAUUAGUUAGUUGGUAAGGUAACGGCUUACCAAGACGAUGAUGGGUAGGGGUCCUGAGAGGGAGAUCCCCCACACUGGUACUGAGACACGGACCAGACUCCUACGGGAGGCAGCAGUGAGGAAUAUUGGUCAAUGGACGGAAGUCUGAACCAGCCAUGCCGCGUGCAGGAUGAAGCAUCUAUGGUGUGUAAACUGCUUUUGUACGGGAAGAAAAAAAGCUACGUGUAGCUUACUGACGGUACCGUAAGAAUAAGGAUCGGCUAACUCCGUGCCAGCCGCCGCCGUAA
rnacentral:rRNA from 1 species